ensembl:lncRNA
UAAAAUGGAUAAUGACAAUAUUUUGUUUUAGAUCUGAUGAACUUGCUCAUACAAGAGUUAUACUUUCAGGACUGACUAAAAGAAUUAAGUCAUUUUCAGGACAAUGACAACAGACCAGAAGACUUGGUGAAGCCACCUAACUUCUUAUCCAAAAGCUUUGUCUGGUAUUUCCAUUAUCACCCGGAACACUGCCACGUACUAAAAGACAAGUGGUAUGGCUAAGGGAUUGAAUGAACACAGUUAUCUGAAAUGUAGAUAUUUUGUCAUUCACCAUAUGUGCAUAAUAGCCUGUACAAGAUUCAGAUAAGUUUUGUAAUCUGCUUGCUUUCGUUAAUAUGGUGGAAGAGCAAGUUAGUUGACUGUUUCUUUGAAAACAUGUGCAAUGCUCUUUCUUUCUUCAUAGCUAUAGGAUAAUUCUGCAAGGAUUUUUAGAGUAACUCCACGGUUGAAUUCACCAAGGAAAGGACUCCUUGUACUCUGAAAUGGCUGUUGUUAUGUUUGCAAGGAUACAUCCCGCAGGCAGGUUGCCAAAAACCAAGAACAAUUCUCAUCACAGCUGUGUGGGGACGUCAGACUAGAAUGAUGUUCAAGCAACUUUGAAAAAGAUGUACAUUUUGUAACGCCAGCUUCUACAAGAUACACGCUGAGGUGCUACCUCUGUGGUGAGGGAAAGUGACAGCUGAAGAAAUAUAGGGAGCAAGUAGAAUUGAUGAUGCCACUAGAGGCGAAAGAGAUCAGCUGCGUGUCAGAAAACUGCUUAUUGCACUACUUAUUGCAUCAGGAUUCUGGACACACAGCCUGCACAAAGGUCUCAUAUGGGUGUCGUUGAAACUGAAACCAAUUAAGAAACAUAUGCAGACAACAGCGUGCUGUCAGGUGCGACAAUGAAAUUUCUUCCAAGAGAAGAGAGAAAGAGAGUGCACUCUGAAGGAGUCUGCGAAGGCUGUGUCCAAACAAAGGCAACAUUUAUAUCUUCACUGUAGCUUCCAGUGUGUUGCAUCCCGGCUCUGAAGAACGCAGUAAGCCAAGACACAGCUGAUCCUGCCUUUGCAGUCAGCUACUCUAAUUAAAUUCAGCCCACUACCAGCUAGCCUGGUUGAAGUAUACUGUAGUUCAAUAAUAUAGGAACACGAAGCAAUGACUGUUUGAUUAUGAAGAAGAUAUUUUAGUUUAAACUGAUGGUUUUUUUUUCUUUUUUUUUAAUUCUCAUGAUCUCACUAGGGAGCCCUGUAAAGGUUAUAUGGAAACUUUUUCUGUAUCUCUAACCUAAUUUCAUUUCUUUUAUGGUUCAUCUCAAUUCACUGAAAUUGUCAUGUUUCUUUAUGGGAUAAUUAUAAUAUCCCUGUAAGGCUUUAUUACCUUAAUUUGCCAAUAUAUGUUCUCAACCCUAACUCUAUUUUAAUAUGUAUUUUAAAUAAUUAAUAUGUAGUUUAGGCAAGCAUGUGGUACGGGAGAGAAAUCAGACAUCAGAAGAAUCUCUAAGGGAGAGACAUACCCUGCCUACUUUCCUUUUCUCCCUGUAAGAGUGGUCAAAAGGGGUUGAACCAGAAAAAAUUGGUACCACCAGAUUGCCAGCUACUUCCUGCUGUUAGAACGGACUUUAACACAAUGUGGUCAACGUGAAGAAGUAAAAAAAAUAUGAAUCUAGGCUUCCAAGUCAGAAAUUUGGUCACGGAGUUGAAAAGAAAAGACAACUAUGGGGGAUGAGGUGGAACAAAUGCUCUUUUUUGGAGUUUGCAAGAAUGGAGAUAAGAAGGUG